GAUGAAGAACGUAGCAAAAUGCGAUAAGUAAUGUGAAUUGCAGAAUUCCGUGAAUCAUCGAAUCUUUGAACGCAAAUUGCACUUUCUGGUAUUCCGGAGAGUAUGCCUGUUUGAGGGUCAGUGUAAUAAAUAAAUCGUGGUUGUUACCACUUUUCGUGGUGACGCUUCGGAAUUGAGUCGUCUUACCCUUCGGGUUAAGUGAUUUAAAAUUUUUUCAUACGAUUUCGAAACGUAUUUAAUGUAUUAUGUACGUUCACGAAUAUCGAAUGUUUAUUAGGUGCGGUCAUUUUCAUGAAUUCGCGUCUAUAAUUUUUUUUUUUUGACCUCAAAUCAGGUAAGAAUACCCGCUGAACUUAAGCAUAUCAAUAAGCGGAGGA
rnacentral:misc_RNA from 1 species